UCGGUGAGCGCGGCUGCAGCGGAUGGGCGAGAAGGAAUCCGACUGUAGGCGAUCAAUAUAGGGCCCAGUGUCCGGGCCAUGUGCUCCAAAAGCGACCGUGGUGGGUGCGCCCUUCCACCAUGGCGUUCCUAGGGAGAACUCGGUGCCCGCUUCCCCAGGCGGGUGGUGCAACGAUGAUCCGGGGUGCGGGAAAGCGGGGUGAGGGCGAGCCUUGCAGGCGGAGCUGAGGGGGAGGGGUGUUGUUGCCAAACCGUGCGGCGACCGACCCCGGACUGCAGCAGUUGGGCGCUGGUGCGCUGUUCGCGAUGUACGUUGCUGCUGUUUCACCGGCCGCCGUGGCCACUCGGAAUAUUGCUGCCUUUGUUGGACUGCGUGUCUCCGCUACUCGGUUUGCCACUGCGGCUCGGUGCCUCUCUGCAAUUUUCUGUCUGUAACGAACACAUUUUGGAGUCGCUGAUGCACACGCGGAGGUGACGGCCCAGCGAUGGGACAGCAGCCCCCCCCCCCCCCCCCUCAGCUCUGUGGAUUACAUCGACAGCAGAUGACGACGCUGCUUCGCGGCGGAUAAUGUGCGUGAAUGCCAGUGCGCGUGUGUUUGUGUCACAGUGUUUGUUAUGAGUGAGCCGCAGUCCUGCGAGUGAGUGUGAUGCGGUGGCGACUGCUGCCUAUGACUGGUCUGUCGUGUUCGUGCUUCGCGAUGCAAGUGACCUGCUACAAGAAGAGAAUCGUGAAGUGUGCCGUGUGAUCAGUGGUGCACCUUUGAAAUCUUGCCACCUUUUGGAUAUGUGAAUUAGCUGGCCUCGCCUCCCUCUGGAGCGAAGUCAGCUGCAAACAGGUGCUCUGGUAUAAGUUCAGGAGGCAUAAAAUGUAUGGGAAAACUGAAAGUGGGUGCACUAUACGUGGGCCCCUGUGCUGCACAGAGCAGUGCCUUCGGUGGCCGUCGCAGCCGUCGUCCAUCAACGGACGCUCAUGCCGUCGCCACAUUUUCUCACUUUCCCCACAAUUGUCAAAAAAUACAUUCGCCGGUACAGUAAAAGAAAGGUAAGAUGGUC